rnacentral:tRNA from 2 species
AUCUAAAUAGUUUAAAAAAAAAUAUUAGUUUGUGAUACUGAAGUUAUAUAGUUAUUUUAGAUU